GGGCACUCUGCUGACCGCUUGGC
rnacentral:piRNA from 1 species